ACUUAGUAACAACAUGAACAAUUGCGUGAUAUUGACCGCUAUCUGUUAGGCAUCACAUCAGCUUUAUUUAGGCAAACGUGAUUGAAUUCAGAAUUUUUUAUGUAUGCAUGACUUGGAACACUUAUGAUGAAUGCAUGACUUUUAAAACAUACGAUAUAUUAUGAUAAAUGAUAGCAUACGUGACUAUGAACAUAAACUAUCAUGCAAAGGUGACAAAAAACUUAUCAAGUUUGAUUUUAUCUAUUCAAUAUGAUUUCGAAAUAUCAUUCAACCUUAAUCUACCACGUGACUUAUCAUCAGUGAUGUUAUAAAAGGCAUAUGAUCGUCAUCCAAGUGUGAGUAGAGUCAGCAUAGGUAUAAUAACUAACAAACAGAUUAACAACCCCAUUAAUGAAGAUAAAAUUGGCUUACUUGAUUGAAUAAACACAGUGAGACCAUACUCUUACGACAUAUGUUUUGUGCGGUGUCCAGUUCCACCAGCAUGGUUUUGGUAUUUCGACUUUUCAUCAUCGUGGUUUCGUAAUUUAGACUUUUCAACAUGGUAAUUUCGUGUUUUCGUUGUCUCGAGUUAUGUGUGUGACACGAUGGCCCUAACAGUACACCGUAGUUUACAAUA